rnacentral:rRNA from 5 species
UUAACGACUCUCGGCAACGGAUAUCUCGGCUCUCGCAUCGAUGAAGAACGUAGCGAAAUGCGAUACUUGGUGUGAAUUGCAGAAUCCCGUGAACCAUCGAGUCUUUGAACGCAAGUUGCGCCCGAAGCCAUUAGGCCAAGGGCACGCCUGCCUGGGCGUCUCACA